rnacentral:rRNA from 1 species
UACGUAGGCAGCGAGCGUUGUCCGGAAUCACUGGGCGUAAAGGGCGCGUAGGCGGUCGGAUAAGUCUUGUGUGAAAUCUUCGGGCUCAACUCGAAGUCUGCACAGGAAACUAUCUGGCUUGAGUGUGGGAGAGGUGAGUGGAAUUCCUGGUGUAGCGGUGAAAUGCGUAGAUAUCAGGAGGAACACCUGUGGCGAAAGCGGCUCACUGGACCACAACUGACGCUGAGGCGCGAAAGCUAGGGGAGCAAACAGG